AACGCUUAUGUGUGGUUUUUGCUGAAUUGGUGAACAAAGACUUAAAGACACGCAUAUAAAAAUAAAUCCUCCUUUGCAACCCAGAACUCAUUAAGUAUGAGUUUUGAUACAUAUCAGAAGGGAUGUG
ensembl:snoRNA